GAUGAACGCUGGCGGCGUGCCUAAUACAUGCAAGUCGAGCGAACAGACGAGGAGCUUGCUCCUCUGACGUUAGCGGCGGACGGGUGAGUAACACGUGGAUAACCUACCUAUAAGACUGGGAUAACUUCGGGAAACCGGAGCUAAUACCGGAUAAUAUAUUGAACCGCAUGGUUCAAUAGUGAAAGACGGUUUUGCUGUCACUUAUAGAUGGAUCCGCGCCGCAUUAGCUAGUUGGUAAGGUAACGGCUUACCAAGGCGACGUUGCGUAGCCGACCGGAGAGGGUGACCGGCCACACGGGAACUGAGACACGGUCCAGACUCCUACGGGAGGCAGCAGUAGGGAAUCUUCCGCAAUGGGCGAAAGCCUGCCGGAGCAACGCCGCGUGAGUGAUGAAGGUCUUCGGAUCGUAAAACUCUGUUAUUAGGGAAGAACAAUUGUGUAAGUAACUAUGCACGUCUUGACGGUACCUUAUCAGAAAGCCACGGCUAACUACGUG
rnacentral:rRNA from 1 species